AUUGAACGCUGGCGGCAGGCCUAACACAUGCAAGUCGAACGAGUGGCGGACGGGUGAGUAAUGUCUGGGAAACUGCCCGAUGGAGGGGGAUGACUACUGGAAACGGUAGCUAAUAACGCAUACCAUCGGAUGUGCCCAGAUGGGAUUAGGUAGUAGCUGGGGUAACGGUUCACCUAGGCGACGAUCCCUAGCUGGUCUGAGAGGAUGACCGGCAACACGGGAACUGAGAAACGGUCCAGAAUCCUACGGGAGGCAGCAGUGGGGAAGAUUGGACAAUGGGCGAAAGCCUGAUGCAGCCAUGCCGCUUGUAUGAAGAAGGCCUUCGUGUUGUAAAGUACUGUCAGAGGGGAGGCGUUACCCGCAGAGGAAGCACCGGCUAACUCCGUGCCAGCCGCCGCGGUAAUAC
rnacentral:rRNA from 1 species